AGCGAUGGGAUGCGAAUCUCGAAAGCCUGUCUCAGUUCGGAUUGGAGGCUGAAACCCGCCUCCAUGAAGUUGGAUUCGCUAGUAAUCGCGCAUCAGCCAUGGCGCGGCGAAUACGUUCCCGGGCCUUGUACACACCGCCCGUCAAGCCAUGGAAGCUGGGGGUGCCUGAAGUUCGUGACCGGAAGGAGCGACCUAGGGCAAAACCGGUGACUGGGGCUAAGUCGUAACAAGGUACC
rnacentral:rRNA from 1 species